AAGACCUUACGCUUUUGGAGCGGCCGAUGUCUGAUUAGCUUGUUGGUGAGGUAAAGGCUUACCAAGGCUUCGAUCAGUAGCUGGUCUGAGAGGACGACCAGCCACACUGGGACUGAGACACGGCCCAGACUCCUACGGGAGGCAGCAGUGGGGAAUUUUGGACAAUGGGGGAAACCCUGAUCCAGCCAUGCCGCGUGAGUGAAGAAGGCCUUCGGGUUGUAAAGCUCUUUCAGCCGGAACGAAACGGUUAUGAUUAAUACCUGUAACUACUGACGGUACCGGAAGAAGAAGCACCGGCUAACUACGUGCCAGCAGCCGCGGUAAUACGUAGGGUGCGAGCGUUAAUCGGAAUUACUGGGCGUAAAGCGUGCGCAGGUGGUUUUGUAAGUCAGAUGUGAAAUCCCCGGGCUUAACCUGGGAACU
rnacentral:rRNA from 1 species